CAGUCGCCACGGGAAUACGUAGGUGGCGAGCGUUGUCCGGAAUUAUUGGGCGUAAAGGGAGCGCAGGCGGACAUAUAAGUCCAUCUUAAAAGUGCGGGGCUCAACCCCGUGAGGGGAUGGAAACUGUAUGCCUUGAGUGCAGGAGAGGAAAGCGGAAUUCCCAGUGUAGCGGUGAAAUGCGUAGAUAUUGGGAGGAACACCAGUGGCGAAGGCGACUCUCCGGUCUGUAACUGACGCUGAGGAGCGAAAGCGUGGGGAGCGAACAGGAUUAGAUACCCCUGUAGUCCCUGUCUCUUAUACA
rnacentral:rRNA from 1 species